GGUUAAGCGACUAAGCGUACACGGUGGAUGCCCUGGCAGUCAGAGGCGAUGAAGGACGUGCUAAUCUGCGAAAAGCGUCGGUAAGGUGAUAUGAACCGUUACAGCCGGCGAUGUCCGAAUGGGGAAACCCAGUGCAAUUCGUUGCACUAUCGUUAACUGAAUACAUAGGUUAACGAGGCGAACCGGGGGAACUGAAACAUCUAAGUACCCCGAGGAAAAGAAAUCAACCGAGAUUCCCCCAGUAGCGGCGAGCGAACGGGGAGCAGCCCGGAGUCUGAAUCAGCUUGUGUGUUAGUGGAAGCGUCUGGAAAGUCGCAGGGUACAGGGUGAUACUCCCGUACACUAAAACACACAGGCUGUGAACUCGAAGAGUAGGGCGGGACACGUGGUAUCCUGUCUGAAUAUGGGGGGACCAUCCUCCAAGGCUAAAUACUCCUGACUGACCGAUAGUGAACCAGUACCGUGAGGGAAAGGCGAAAAGAACCCCGGCGAGGGGAGUGAAAAAGAACCUGAAACCGUGUACGUACAAGCAGUAGGAGCCCACUAGUUGGGUGACUGCGUACCUUUUGUAUAAUGGGUCAGCGACUUAUAUUCUGUAGCAAGGUUAACCGAAUAGGGGAGCCGCAGGGAAACCGAGUCUUAACUGGGCGUUAAGUUGCAGGGUAUAGACCCGAAACCCGGUGAUCUAGCCAUGGGCAGGUUGAAGGUUGGGUAACACUAACUGGAGGACCGAACCGACUAAUGUUGAAAAAUUAGCGGAUGACUUGUGGCUGGGGGUGAAAGGCCAAUCAAACCGGGAGAUAGCUGGUUCUCCCCGAAAGCUAUUUAGGUAGCGCCUCGUGAACUCAUCUUCGGGGGUAGAGCACUGUUUCGGCUAGGGGGUCAUCCCGACUUACCAACCCGAUGCAAACUACGAAUACCGAAGAAUGUUAUCACGGGAGACACACGGCGGGUGCUAACGUCCGUCGUGAAGAGGGAAACAACCCAGACCGCCAGCUAAGGUCCCAAAGUCAUGGUUAAGUGGGAAACGAUGUGGGAAGGCCCAGACAGCCAGGAUGUUGGCUUAGAAGCAGCCAUCAUUUAAAGAAAGCGUAAUAGCUCACUGGUCGAGUCGGCCUGCGCGGAAGAUGUAACGGGGCUAAACCAUGCACCGAAGCUGCGGCAGCGACGCUUAUGCGUUGUUGGGUAGGGGAGCGUUCUGUAAGCCGUUGAAGGUGGCCUGUGAGGGUUGCUGGAGGUAUCAGAAGUGCGAAUGCUGACAUAAGUAACGAUAAUGCGGGUGAAAAACCCGCACGCCGGAAGACCAAGGGUUCCUGUCCAACGUUAAUCGGGGCAGGGUGAGUCGACCCCUAAGGCGAGGCCGAAAGGCGUAGUCGAUGGGAAACAGGUUAAUAUUCCUGUACUUGGUGUUACUGCGAAGGGGGGACGGAGAAGGCUAUGUUGGCCGGGCGACGGUUGUCCCGGUUUAAGCAUGUAGGCGGAUGUUCCAGGUAAAUCCGGAACGUUAUUAACGCUGAGGUGUGAUGACGAGGCACUACGGUGCUGAAGUGACAAAUGCCCUGCUUCCAGGAAAAGCCUCUAAGCAUCAGGUAACAUCAAAUCGUACCCCAAACCGACACAGGUGGUCAGGUAGAGAAUACCAAGGCGCUUGAGAGAACUCGGGUGAAGGAACUAGGCAAAAUGGUGCCGUAACUUCGGGAGAAGGCACGCUGAUGGUAAGUGAAGUGACUUGCUCAUGGAGCUGAAAUCAGUCGAAGAUACCAGCUGGCUGCAACUGUUUAUUAAAAACACAGCACUGUGCAAACACGAAAGUGGACGUAUACGGUGUGACGCCUGCCCGGUGCCGGAAGGUUAAUUGAUGGGGUUAUCCUCGCGGAGAAGCUCUUGAUCGAAGCCCCGGUAAACGGCGGCCGUAACUAUAACGGUCCUAAGGUAGCGAAAUUCCUUGUCGGGUAAGUUCCGACCUGCACGAAUGGCGUAAUGAUGGCCAGGCUGUCUCCACCCGAGACUCAGUGAAAUUGAACUCGCUGUGAAGAUGCAGUGUACCCGCGGCAAGACGGAAAGACCCCGUGAACCUUUACUAUAGCUUGACACUGAACACUGGUCCUUGAUGUGUAGGAUAGGUGGGAGGCUUUGAAGUGUGGACGCCAGUCUGCAUGGAGCCGUCCUUGAAAUACCACCCUUUAAUGGCUGGUGUUCUAACGUGGGCCCGUGAUCCGGGUUGCGGACAGUGUCUGGUGGGUAGUUUGACUGGGGCGGUCUCCUCCUAAAGAGUAACGGAGGAGCACGAAGGUCAGCUAAUCCUGGUCGGACAUCAGGAGGUUAGUGCAAUGGCAUAAGCUGGCUUGACUGCGAGCGUGACGGCGCGAGCAGGUGCGAAAGCAGGUCAUAGUGAUCCGGUGGUUCUGAAUGGAAGGGCCAUCGCUCAACGGAUAAAAGGUACUCCGGGGAUAACAGGCUGAUACCGCCCAAGAGUUCAUAUCGACGGCGGUGUUUGGCACCUCGAUGUCGGCUCAUCACAUCCUGGGGCUGAAGUAGGUCCCAAGGGUAUGGCUGUUCGCCAUUUAAAGUGGUACGCGAGCUGGGUUUAGAACGUCGUGAGACAGUUCGGUCCCUAUCUGCCGUGGGCGCUGGAGAAUUGAGGGGGGCUGCUCCUAGUACGAGAGGACCGGAGUGGACGCAUCACUGGUGUUCGGGUUGUCAUGCCAAUGGCAUUGCCCGGUAGCUAAAUGCGGAAGAGAUAAGUGCUGAAAGCAUCUAAGCACGAAACUUGCCCCGAGAUGAGUUCUCCCUGACUCCUUGAGAGUCCUGAAGGAACGUUGAAGACGACGACGUUGAUAGGCCGGGUGUGUAAGCGCAGCGAUGCGUUGAGCUAACCGGUACUAAUGAACCGUGAGGCUUAACCUU
rnacentral:rRNA from 1 species